rnacentral:rRNA from 1 species
CCUACGGGAGGCUGCAGUGAGGAAUAUUGGUCAAUGGACGAGAGUCUGAACCAGCCAAGUAGCGUGAAGGAUGACUGCCCUAUGGAUUGUAAACUUCUUUUAUAUGGGAAUAAAACGUUCCACGUGUGGGAUUUUGUAUGUACCAUAUGAAUAAGGAUCGGCUAACUCCGUGCCAGCAGCCGCGGUAAUACGGAGGAUCCGAGCGUUAUCCGGAUUUAUUGGGUUUAAAGGGAGCGUAGGUGGAUUGUUAAGUCAGUUGUGAAAGUUUGCGGCUCAACCGUAAAAUUGCAGUUGAAACUGGCAGUCUUGAGUACAGUAGAGGUGGGCGGAAUUCGUGGUGUAGCGGUGAAAUGCUUAGAUAUCACGAAGAACUCCGAUUGCGAAGGCAGUUCACUGGACUGCAACUGACACUGAGGCUCGAAAGUGUGGGUAUCAAACAGGAUUAGAUACCCUAGUAGUC